AAAAAUCUGGAAAUGGUUGAUAUUUCCAAGCUGCUGAUGUCCCUCUCUGUCCCUUUCUGUACGCAGUGGUACGUAAAUGGGGUGAAUUAUUUUACUGACCUGUGGAAUGUGAUGGACACGCUGGGGCUUUUUUACUUCAUAGCAGGAAUUGUAUUUCGGCUCCACUCUUCUAAUAAAAGCUCUUUGUAUUCUGGACGAGUCAUUUUCUGUCUAGACUACAUUAUUUUCACUCUAAGAUUGAUCCACAUUUUUACUGUAAGCAGAAACUUAGGACCCAAGAUUAUAAUGCUGCAGAGGAUGCUGAUCGACGUGUUCUUCUUCCUGUUCCUCUUUGCGGUGUGGAUGGUGGCCUUCGGCGUGGCCAGGCAAGGGAUCCUUAGGCAGAAUGAGCAGCGCUGGAGGUGGAUAUUCCGUUCAGUCAUCUACGAGCCCUACUUGGCCAUGUUCGGCCAGGUGCCCAGUGACGUGGACGGUACCACGUAUGACUUUGCCCACUGCACCUUCACUGGGAAUGAGUCCAAGCCACUGUGCGUGGAGCUGGAUGAGCACAACCUGCCCCGGUUCCCCGAGUGGAUCACCA
rnacentral:sRNA from 1 species